UACAGAGGUCUCAAGCGUUGUUCGGAUUCAUUGGGCGUAAAGGGUGCGUAGGCGGCGCGGUAAGUCGGGUGUGAAAUCUUGGAGCUUAACUCCGAAACUGCAUUCGAUACUGCCGUGCUUGAGGACUGGAGAGGCGAGUGGAAUUCCUGGUGUAGCGGUGAAAUGCGCAGAUAUCAGGAGGAACACCGAUGGCGAAGGCAGCUCGCUGGGACGGUACUGACGCUGAGGCGCGAAAGCGUGGGGAGCAAACAGG
rnacentral:rRNA from 1 species